AGUGGCAGGAGAGAAGAUGUAUGUUCAGAGGCAGCCUGAGCUGCCUGUGUUCCCAAGGCAUCCUUUCUAAGGAAUCCAGGCCAAGGUCACCACCACCACACGUGCUUUCUGUGGCAGCCUCAUAGCAGAGAUGUCAUUGGCAAUGUUGAGCCUUCUGAAGAGGAAAAGACAGCCAGCGCUUCUGUUGUUCUCAUAUUCUGCAUAUUUUAUUGCCUUCACCAAUGGAUGGCAACACAAAGUUUUGUGGAUCUACUGAUUGUUAAUACAGUGGUGCCUCUGCCGUUUCAUAAAGGUCAUUCUGUCACAAAUCUUGUCUGCAGAGGCUCAUUCAGCUAAAGACUCCACAAAACUUGGCUUCACCUCUGCUCAUUUCAACAGUUUAGUGAAGAAAUGACACGUCAUCUGAUUAUCUGAUGCUAUAGCCAGUGGUUUAAGUUUAUGAUCUCAUCGUCAACUUAACAAAGAUGUCAUAGACUUUUCUGAUUGUAAAAUGAAUGGCUAUCCAGGAGUGAAGGAUUGCUCCAUUCCACAUCCUUACUUUCUUGACCUUUGGGCUUUGGUGGGACCUUUGAAAGCAUUUGACAAUGUACCCAAAUUUGUAAAUUAACAAAGUCUCAGAGACCCUUAAGUGACAAGGCAUACAGUGAUCGUAAACAUACCCUAAUUGAAACCUUUUGUAUUGGUAAAUGAGAAAAUGAGGUUCAGAGAUAUUACACUAUUAUAAAGAGAAGAGCUGGUGGUGGCAUGCAGGUUUAACCCUCCUCCUAGUUCUUGUCCUUCCUCGCUCAUUUAACCAACUGACUGCUUAUGGAAUGCCAGGCAUUAUGUAAGGUGCUAGAGAGUCAACAGCAAUAAAAACAGUUUCUGCUUGGAGGCCUUAUAAUCUAGUAUGGAAGGCAGACAAGAAGAGGAAAGUAUAAUAAGUACUGGUAUAGGGAUUUCAGCCUUUCUGUCCGCAUGCCCAGUACCUGAUCUGUUCAUAAUGGAUCCUUGUAAGUGAGUCUUGCAUCUUGGGGCUAUUUUGAAUCAUAUUCUGGGAAACUCUCCACCAUUCUUUCAGGAUACCAGAAUGUCAAGAACUCAAGGAUCAUUGACACCCUGUGAUCAAGUCUUUCAUCUUACCUAUUAGGCAAUUUCAUUGUAUUAAGAUCAAUUUGGUGGAAAUUUAUCUAUGAAAGUUCAGCAGUAACACUACAUUUCUGAUGAAGUCUUGACAGUUUAAAGUUGACAAUAAAUGCCAAAAGCUUACCUUUUUAAAACUCUUCAAUAGGCCUAACCUAUGUAAAGCAUUGCAAAUAAAGUUAAA